GAAGCUCUCUAUUGAGCUCAAAAAACCACCAAAGAUCACACCUUUCAAUCUCCACACCCUUCACCCACUUCUCUAUGAGACUUGGGUUCUCUCUGAAAUGCCCCAAAACCCAACUUCUCUGAUUUUCAAACACCCUUAAACCCCUCUCUCUUCUAAAACCCUAUGCCAAAAUGCCCAACUCACUACUCAAAGCUCCUCACUUUCUCACUCCACAAACGCCUCAACAAUCACACCCUCUUCCCAAUUCACCUCUCCCUCCAAACCCACUUCUCAUCUCUCUCAAACCCAUCAAGCAAUGAAGACCCAGAACCAGAGAGCCCCCCAAUUUCUGAGGAAAUCUUCAGGAAAGGUCCCAACUUUGGGUCCUACAAGUCAGGUGAUUCAACUUUCUACUCUCUCAUUGAGAACUAUGCGAGUCUUGGGGACUUUGGGUCCCUGGAGAAGGUUCUGGAUCGAAUGAAACGCGAAAGGAGAGUCUUUGUUGAGAGGAGUUUCAUUGCUGUGUUUAGAGCUUUUGGGAAAGCACAUUUACCCAAUAAAGCUGUUGACUUGUUUCAUAGAAUGGUAGAUGAGUUUCAGUGUAGGAGGACUGUUAAGUCUUUUAAUUCGGUUCUUAAUGUUAUUGUACAGGAGGGUCAUUAUGCACAUGCAUUGGAGUUUUAUGACCAUGUUGUUGGUGAUAAAAGCAUGAAUAUUUCGCCGAAUGUGCUGAGUUAUAAUUUGAUUAUUAAGGCAAUGUGUAGGUUUGGAUUGGUUGAUAAGGCUGUCGAGAAGUUUAGGGAAAUGCCGGUUAGGGACUGUGCUCCUGAUGUGUUUACGUAUGGUACAUUGAUGGAUGGGUUGUGCAAGGUGAAUAGGAUUGAUGAGGCGGUGUUUUUGUUGGAUGAGAUGCAGAUGGAGGGCUGCUCACCGAGUCCUGCGACGUUCAAUGUGUUGAUUGAUGCAGUGUGCAAGAAGGGUGACUUAGGGCGUGCGGCUAAGCUUGUUGAUAACAUGUUUCUUAAGGGGUGUGUUCCGAAUGAAGUGACUUAUAACACACUUAUACACGGUUUGUGUCUCCAGGGGAAGUUAGAGAAGGCUGUUAGUCUUUUGGAUAGAAUGGUUUCAUAUAAAUGUGUGCCCAAUGAUGUCACCUAUGGGACAAUCAUCAAUGGUCUUGUUAAGCAAGGACGAUCUCUUGAUGGAGCUCGAGUGUUGGUAUCUAUGGAGGAAAGAGGGCGUCGUGCAAAUGAGUAUGUUUAUUCAGUUCUUGUUAGUGGAUUGUUCAAGGAGGGAAAAUCUGAAGAGGCAAUGAAAUUGUGGAAGGAGAUGAUGGAAAAGGGAUGUAAACCAAACACUGUGGUAUAUAGUGCCCUUAUAGAUGGUCUUUGUUUAGAUGGAAAACCUGAUGAAGCUAAGGAAGUAUUCUGUGAGAUGGUGCAUAAUGGUUGCAUGCCCAAUUCCUACACUUACAGUUCCUUAAUGAGGGGUUUCUUCCGGACAGGUCAGAGUCAUAAAGCGAUUCUUUUGUGGAAAGAAAUGGCGGACAAUAAUGUUAUACGAAAUGAAGUUUGUUACAGUGUCAUAAUUGAUGGUCUUUGCAAGGAGGGGAAAGUCAAAGAGGCCUUGAUGGUGUGGAAGCAGAUGCUUGCCAGAGGAUAUAAACUAGAUGUCGUGGCUUAUAGUUCAAUGAUUCAUGGCCUUUGCAACGAUGGUUUGGUUGAGCAGGGGUUGAAACUUUUUAAUGACAUGCUCUCUCAGGAACUUGAAUGUCAGCCUGAUGUCAUCACUUAUAACAUACUUUUGAAUGCUCUCUGCCAUCAGCAUACCAUCUCACGUGCCAUUGAUCUUUUAAACAGUAUGCUGGAUAAGGGUUGUGAUCCUGACUUGGUUACUUGUGACAUCUUCCUAAAAACUUUGGGGGAGAAGCUCGACCCACCUCAAGAUGGGAGAGAAUUCCUAAAUGAGCUAGUUGUCCGGCUAUUUAAACGGCAGAGGACAAUAGGUGCUUCCAGGAUUGUUGAACUGAUGCUGAAAACGUUUUUGCCUCCGACAGCAUGUACCUGGACAAUAGUCGUACAAGAGCUUUGCAAGCCUAAGAAGGUUAGAGAAGCCAUUGACAAAUGUUGGAGCAGCCUAUGUUGCUAAUUUAUGAGUAAGGCCUCAUAUUUUUUCUUUUCGAAACAUUAGACCAUUGAUCAUGCUCUAUUGUUUGGCAUGAUGUAUGCUUGCUUAUAGGGUUGGCAUGUUACUCCAUUUUUCUUUUGGUGUUUAAAGACAACUAUACAAAGGAAAGCUAGCUGCAUGAUUUAGUGUAUCUUAAAACCAAUGGAUUGUUUUAUUACACAACCAUUUAUUGAAAAACUACUGGUGAAAUGAAAUGGAAAAGGGAAAAUUCCAAAAAACUGAGGUCUAUUGUUGAUCGAAAGAUUAAUGAUAUAUGUCAUCCAGCAGAAUAGGAUUAGUGCCAUCAACAUUCUUUUUUUCUUUUUUUUUUUGGUCUGAGCCAUCAACAUUCUUUACUUUUACUUUCUACCAAUUUGUUCUCGUAUGAAACAUUUCUCAAAAAUUGGAUUUGAUGAAGAUGCUUUACAGUUGGCACAUUUGUGAACAUUGAUGAGUGGAACUUCUGUUAUAUCACUUAUAUGAAAUGUUCAAAUGAUCUAAAGAGGUCCUUCAAUCCAGUCUCAGAAACAGCAUACAUCAGAUGAUACAGCAUAACCUGUGACAGAUAAAGUAAACAGCAUACCAGGGAAAAUUGACAUUUGUGUUGCUAGGAUAAUCAAUUUGUAUUCAGGUACGGAGACAGAAACUGUCAUCUUAUUAUUAUGAUCGUUAUAUUUUUUUUUGAACCUAUGAUUACUUCUUCCUUUGUCUACGAGUACAUAAGAUGUGAAUUUGUAGCUGCUAGAAAGAUGGAAACAACUUUUAUAAUCUAACAACCAUAGAUACACCGAAAAUCAGCCCUCUACAAUUUUACUAGCACAAGAAGUACAGUAAGUCACCUAAGCAACUUUAGCUUCUAUUGAUAUGUGCUGAAAUUUCUUCUUGAUGGUGUGAUUGAUAAAAACAAAUGAAACUCCGACUCCCUGUGUAGAUAGUAGGUGUUAGUACAAGCGUAGGAUCCUUCAGCUCUAAGUGCUAGUACUCCUAAACGUUCUGUAUGUAGCAGAGCUCUACAAAGAAGUGAACUAGGUAAACAAGAGCAAACAAACUCUUCAAAAAAAAAAGAGAAGAAGAAGAGAUAAUGCAGUUAGGAUAAAAGAGCUCAGGACCACUCUAAUAGAAAAAUCAAAUCUGAUUCCCAAAGUCUACCCAAUAACAAAGACUACUUCAAUCCAAAUAUGAGUUCAUUCAACUCGUUUUCCAGAUACCUGUCGCUAACAUAAACCUAGGAGUGAGCCAAGAUACAUAACUGAAUUUAUAAUACUUAGAUGCAAUCCAAAAAUGAUUUGGAGAUCUGCCCUUCACCACAACUUCUUGAACUUGGUUUAGCAGCUCAGGACUCAGUUCUAAGCUCUUUGUAGAGUGCAUAUACUAGCAAACAAAAUCUGAGCGAACCCAGCAUACUAGUGCUUCUUCUCGCAAAUGUGGAGGCCAUGAACCUAGACUUGUAA